CAGAUACUCCCUCCGUUCCAAAUUACUUGUCUUGGAUUUGUCUAGAUACGGAGGUAUCUAGCACUAAAAUGAGUCUAGAUACAUAUGUAUCUAGACAAAUCCAAGACAAGUAAUUCGGAACGGAGGGAGUAGUAG
rnacentral:pre_miRNA from 1 species